GACGAACGCUGGCGGCGUGCCUAAUACAUGCAAGUAGAACGCACAGUUUAUACCGUAGCUUGCUCCACCAUAGACUGUGAGUUGCGAACGGGUGAGUAACGCGUAGGUAACCUGCCUGGUAGCGGGGGAUAACUAUUGGAAACGAUAGCUAAUACCGCAUAAUAUUAAUUAUUGCAUGAUAAUUAAUUGAAAGGUGCAAUUGCACCACUACCAGAUGGACCUGCGUUGUAUUAGCUAGUAGGUGAGGUAACGGCUCACCUAGGCGACGAUACAUAGCCGAACUGAGAGGGUGAUCGGCCACACUGGGACUGAGACACGGCCCAGACUCCUACGGGAGGCAGCAGUAGGGAAUCUUCGGCAAUGGACGAAAGUCUGACCGAGCAACGCCGCGUGAGUGAAGAAGGUUUUCGGAUCGUAAAGCUCUGUUGUAAGAGAAGAACGGGUGUGAGAGUGGAAAGUUCACACUGUGACGGUAUCUUACCAGAAAGGGACGGCUAACUACGUG
rnacentral:rRNA from 1 species